GGCUUGAUGGUCUAGUAGUAUGAUUCCUUGUUAGGGCAAUUCGCCAGGAUAUAUUCCUCGAGGAGGUCCUGGGUUCAAUUCCCAGUCAAGCCC